GCGGCUGUGGCGGAAUUGGUAGACGCGCAGCGUUGAGGUCGCUGUGGGGUAACUCCCGUGGAAGUUCGAGUCUUCUCAGCCGCA
rnacentral:tRNA from 2 species